AUGUCCGGAGCGGGAGGUAGAUGGAUGGCCUCUACCAUCACGGAGGGGCACAUCAAAAAGUUGAGGAAGGCCGGAUACUUGUCUGAUGACAUCGCACACCGGCUUCCAGAUGAGGGGCAACUCAUCCCCACCCCUGGGCCCCAUGAGAGGGUCGUAUUUCUCCCCCAUUUCCUUCGCGGACUGGGCUUUCCUCUUCACCCAUUCGUCCGGGGGCUCAUGUUCUACUACGGCCUGGACUUCCACGAUUUGGCCCCGAACUUCAUCCUCAACAUAUCGGCGUUCAUCGUCGUAUGUGAGGUCUUUCUCCGCAUCCAGCCCCACUUCGGCUUAUGGCUGAAGACCUUCAAUGUCAAGCCGAAGGUUGUAGGCGGCCGUCAAGUGGAGUGCGGAGGUGCCAUGGUGGGCAAAAUAGCCAACGUUACAUGGCUCGAGGGCGCCUUCGUAGAGACCAUCAAAGGGUGGCAGUCAGGGUGGUUCUAUAUCACCAAGCCGCGUGACCCCAAAUGGGCAGCGGCCCCCGAAUUCCGAUCUGGCAUCCCCACAUGGCUCACAUCUUGGAAAGAGACGGGCCUGUCGUGGGGUAGUCCAGAAGAGGUGACCGGACUCCAAACCUGCAUCCGAGACCUGGUGAACAAGAAGGUUAAGCUUGUCAAUGUAGUCCAGGUCAUGCUCUUCCCCCGGAUCCUCCCGUGUCAACGACGGGCCUUCAAUUUGUGGGAGUUCGACCCGGCCCAGCACCAGACUUUGUCCCGGCUCUUCGACACAAAGCACGAGGAUGCCUGGAAGGUGCUAUUCAAGAGCUCCGAGGUCUCCCCUCCCGUCACCGAGGAUCACGGAUUCUGCGCCAAGCGCCAAGCCACCGAAGUAAGCUUGCUUUUAGUCCUUCACGGGACACUUGAUUUUCAUAGUUUGACUCUAUGUAGGAUCUAA
rnacentral:rRNA from 1 species